rnacentral:rRNA from 1 species
GAUGAACGCUGGCGGCGUGCCUAAUACAUGCAAGUCGAGCGAACGGACGAGAAGCUUGCUUCUCUGAUGUUAGCGGCGGACGGGUGAGUAACACGUGGAUAACCUACCUAUAAGACUGGGAUAACUUCGGGAAACCGUAGCUAAUACCGGAUAAUAUUUUGAACCGCAUGGUUCAAAAGUGAAAGACGGUCUUGCUGUCACUUAUAGAUGGAUCCGCGCUGCAUUAGCUAGUUGGUAAGGUAACGGCUUACCAAGGCAACGAUGCAUAGCCGACCUGAGAGGGUGAUCGGCCACACUGGAACUGAGACACGGUCUAGACUCCUACGGGAGGCAGCAGUAGGGAAUCUUCCGCAAUGGGCGAAAGCCUGACGGAGCAACGCCGCGUGAGUGAUGAAGGUCUUCGGAUCGUAAAACUCUGUUAUUAGGGAAGAACAUAUGUGUAAGUAACUGUGCACAUCUUGACGGUACCUAAUCAGAAAGCCACGGCUAACUACGUG